UUGGAAAUAGAGAGUGAAUGGAUCUAUUUAUUCACAGAGCAGAUACAGCAUGGACAGCGGCAACAGAAGAUUCCCCCACUCUCUCCUUUCAAUAUACCUCAUCCUGAUGUGUAGCUAUCACUUCAAGAGAUUAGAAGAUAAACUUAGUUUCUCUGCCAAUCCAAUCUCUGGCAUUU
rnacentral:sRNA from 1 species